UACGUAGGAGGCGAGCGUUGUCCGGAAUUGCUGGGCGUAAAGCGCGCGUAGGCGGUUUUUCGCGUAGGCGGUAAAAGCCCCCGGCUUACCCGGGGGAGGUCCGUCUAAACGGGGAAACUAGAGGGCGGUAGGGGCUGGCGGAACGCCCGGAGUAGCGGAUGAAAUGCGUUGAGAUCGGGCAGAACACCAGUGGCGAAGGCGGCCGGCUGGGCCGACCCUGACGCUGGAGGCGCGGAAAGCCAGGGGAGCGAACGGA
rnacentral:rRNA from 1 species